AUGGUUGGACGAAAUAUUAACUGUUUCAUUUAAAUUUAAAAUAGAAUUUUAUUUUUUAGUCAAAAAGCUAAAAUUAAUUUAAAAGACGAGAAGACCCUAUAAAUCUUUAUAUUUUAUUUAUUUUAAUUAUAAAGAUUAAUUUAAUUUUAAUAAAUUAAAAUAUUUUAUUGGGGUGAUAUUAAAAUUUAAAAAACUUUUAAUUUUAAAAAACAUUAAUUUAUGAAUAAUUGAUCCAUUAAUAAUGAUUAAAAAAUUAAGUUACUUUAGGGAUAACAGCGUAAUUUUUUUGGAGAGUUCAUAUCGAUAAAAAAGAUUGCGACCUCGAUGUUGGAUUAAGAUAUAAUUUUGGGUGUAGCCGUUCAAAUUUUAAGUCUGUUCGACUUUUAAAUUCUUACAUGAUCUGAGUUCAAACCGGUGUAAGCCAGGUUGGUUUCUAUCUUUAGAAAAUUAUAAUAUUUUAGUACGAAAGGACCAAAUAUUAAAAUAAUUAUAUUUUUAUAUAAGAAUAUUAUUAAUAU
rnacentral:rRNA from 1 species